UUAAAACAUUUGGUAGCCUACAUGGUAAAUGAUUUCAGAAUGAAUUUUGGAAGUCCUUUGCUAGUUAGUUGAUACUGCUGAUAGUCAAUUGUGGUUCUUGUGUUUAUAUAAUUAUGGAUUUUGUUUGUUUUAACAGGGUUGGCAAAAUGCUCAUCAAGGUCCAGUACCGUGGACUAAAAAAGUACCUCAAACUGCAGCCUGGUUUUUCUUAUGAAAGUUUCAUUGAAGAAGAAUUUGUGCCAGCAGGUUCUUCUACUCUAAAUUCUUCACUUUUCUGAAGUGAUAUGGAGAGGUCCUCUUCAAACAAGGGACAUCAAUCUACUGGUGCAGGAGAGAACACCUCUGCCAUAGGGGAUGCAGCAGAAAAGGCCAAAUGGAUGGUCCAGGAGGUUCUGGAGAAGAGUUCAGGGGGAGAGGAAACAAUGGAGGAGUAUAAGAGAUUGAGCACCUUGACACACUGCACAAGACGGCAUCAUAUCCUGGUCAGCCACAUUGUUGAAAUGCAUGGGAACUCUGGAUCUCAUUCAUCACCAUUGGGUCCUUGGUUACCUGUCUGACCAAAGCCCCUUUGUCCGGGAUUACUCAGUUUGGCUGAGCUGGUAGACACCAUACUGCUUUUUAUUGAGGAGAGUUGGAGGAUUUUGUGUAGAUGUUGAUGAAGAUGAUAUGUUGGUUAUAUCUCUGUCAGUCAUCUGAAUAUUUUUAAAUGCCCAAGCUAUUGUUAUUUUUUUUCUCAACGUCAGGUUUAAUUUACACUGAAUAAAUGCUGUUAAAUGAAA